rnacentral:tRNA from 1 species
GCGCCCGUAGCUCAAUGGAUAGAGCACUGCCCUCCGAAGGCAGGGGUUGCUGGUUCGAUCCCAGCCGGGCGCGCCA